CAUUUACUAAGUUGUUCAUCUUGUUAUCAUCUUGCCAUUACUCUGUUGCUAUCAUGUUUUCAUUCUAUUCAUCGUUUAUGAUUUCUACUAUGAUGUCUGAGUAGUGAAUAAGUUUUUGAGGAUGGGUUAAAGUAGUUUAGAAUUCUCAGUAUGCUAGGUGGUUGAGUUUGAUUUAUAGAUCCUUCUGGAUUAGUUGUUCUUAAUGCCUAUUGCUUUCUGAUCAACUGGAAUUUGAGCCCAGACAUUUCCACGCCCAAAAGGUGUUCGAUGAAAUAUCUGAACCACUCUAGAGAUUCGUGGCUCUGUACCAAGGUAUUGGUUGCAGGGAGCGUUUUGGCUUUAACUUGUUGAUUUGUAAUGCCUGUUAGGUUAGCUCUCGUCAAUGGUGAUUGAGUCUGGGACAGGUUUAACUUGAGGGUCUCUGUUGCGGUGGCACUUAGAUUUGGUUAUCGAACUUGUCGUCUAGGAAUAAUUUAUUGAGCAUGUCAAUCACCUGUAAACUGAGGAAACAAAACUACUCAAUUACCCCAUCCUCGGGAAUUUUGCAUCCAAUUGAUUUCUUUGUUAACUCUGCUAUUGUUUACUGCAUCUUGUUACUUGUUACUUAGUUUUUGUAUUUUUCUCCUGUUACUCGACCUUAUACUCGAUCACCCAGUUGUCUGGCAACAGACUGUGCAGUGGAGUAUCUCUGUUACAUUUUCUGUCUAUUACUUCACCUGUCACUCGACCACACCCAGUGCUUGGCAACAAGCUGUGUUGGUCUAGUGUUUUUACUGUUCUGCUUAAAUUUCUGUUUUCUAAAUGUUCACUUAGAACUACUAGAACACACCCAAACCUAUUAUUGGUUGGCUUGACUCUGUGAACUCUGAUUGCAUCUUGAUUAUUAGCAUCACACCCAUUUGGAUUGACAACCUAAAAUACUACAACGACAUGAUUGGUGUUUUAGGAUAAUUGACUAAAAACCUAUUAUCAAUGUGCUACAUUCAGAACCAAGGAGGGUUCAACAAGGGCUACAACAACUACAAGCCCAACCCAAACCUCUCCUACAGAAACACUAAUGUAGGUAA
rnacentral:sRNA from 1 species